rnacentral:rRNA from 1 species
GAUAAACGCUGGCGGCGUGCUUAACACAUGCAAGUCGAACGAAGUUUUUCUUUCGGGAGAAACUUAGUGGCGGACGGGUGAGUAACGCGUGGGUAACCUGCCCUGUACAGGGGGACAACAGCUGGAAACGGCUGCUAAUACCGCAUAAGCCCUUAGCACUGCAUGGUGCAUAGGGAAAAGGAGUAAUCCGGUACAGGAUGGACCCGCGUCUGAUUAGCCAGUUGGCAGGGUAACGGCCUACCAAAGCGACGAUCAGUAGCCGAUCUGAGAGGAUGUACGGCCACAUUGGGACUGAGACACGGCCCAGACUCCUACGGGAGGCAGCAGUGGGGAAUAUUGCACAAUGGAGGAAACUCUGAUGCAGCGACGCCGCGUGAGUGAAGAAGUAUUUCGGUAUGUAAAGCUCUAUCAGCAGGGAAGAAAAUGACG